rnacentral:rRNA from 1 species
GAGUUUGAUCCUGGCUCAGGAUGAACGCUGGCGGCGUGCUUAACACAUGCAAGUCGAACGAUGACCCCGUGCUUGCACGGGUGAUUAGUGGCGAACGGGUGAGUAACACGUGAGUAACCUGCCCCGACUUUGGGAUAAGCCCGGGAAACUGGGUCUAAUACCGGAUAUGACUUCUUACCGCAUGGUGGGUUGUUGAAAGAUUUAUCGGUGGGGGAUGGACUCGCGGCCUAUCAGCUUGUUGGUGAGGUAAUGGCUCACCAAGGCGACGACGGGUAGCCGGCCUGAGAGGGUGACCGGCCACACUGGGACUGAGACACGGCCCAGACUCCUACGGGAGGCAGCAGUGGGGAAUAUUGCACAAUGGGCGAAAGCCUGAUGCAGCGACGCCGCGUGAGGGAUGACGGCCUUCGGGUUGUAAACCUCUUUCAGUAGGGAAGAAGCGAAAGUGACGGUACCUGCAGAAGAAGCGCCGGCUAACUACGUG